rnacentral:rRNA from 1 species
AGAGUUUGAUCCUGGCUCAGAUUGAACGCUGGCGGCAGGCUUAACACAUGCAAGUCGAACGCUCCGCAAGGGGAGUGGCAGACGGGUGAGUAACGCGUGGGAACAUACCCCUCGGUUCGGAAUAACUCAGGGAAACUUGAGCUAAUACCGAAUACGGUCGAGAGGCGAAAGAUUUAUCGCCGAGGGAUUGGCCCGCGUCC